UCCGGCUUAACGCCGGCAGUCUACCUAGAGUGCCCAACUAAAUGGUGGCAACUAAGUACGAGGGUUGCGCUCGUUGCGGGACUUAACCCAACACCUCACGGCACGAGCUGACGACAGCCGUGCAGCACCGUCCACCCGGCCCCGAAGGGAAACCCCGUUUCCGUGCGCUUGCAGCACCAUGUCAAGUCCAGGUAAGGUUCUUCGCGUUGCAUCGAAUUAAAGAACAUGCUCCGCUGCUUGUGCGGGCCCCCGUCAAUUCUUUUGAGUUUUAGCCUUGCGGCCGUACUCCCCAGGCGGGACACUUAACGCGUUAGCUGCGGCACAGAGGGAUUCGACUCCCCCCACACCUAGUGUCCAUCGUUUACAGCUAGGACUAC
rnacentral:misc_RNA from 1 species